UCUACAUAAGAGGCAAACUACAUAGCACCAGAAGGAAAAAAUUGUAUAUUGAUAAAAUUCAGAAAUUGGAAGCCGAAUUGCGUGACAUGGAAAAAGAUUUGGCCAACCAUUAUUCUGAACGCUUAUUUAAAAACAUUUGCAAAUGUAAAUUUCAAAUUCAAGACAUUUUUAAUAAAAAA